GAGAGGGGAGGAGUGGGGGAAGGGGGGGAAACAGAAACAAAAAGAAAACUGACAAACAGAGGAGGAGUCCAAAAGCCCAACACCCAUUAAGUCAAGACUUCCCACAGUUCUCUAAGCCAGCAAAUGAAUGUAAUUUAAACUGCUUUAAACUUCAUAUAAAAAUAAAUCAUUUUUGGUAAAUCAAUAAACAGAGGCAUCUCCAUAGUCAAAAACAGUAUUUAAAAUACUAACGAAAGGAGUUUUAAAAUUGAAAUUGACUUGUUUCAGAAAAGAGUCUGGGAUAAAUGUCCUCAAGCUUUCUGCCUUCAUUACGCCCCGAAUUGUCCUGUUUAGGCUUCUAAUGCCUUUCUCCUUCUCAAAAAAAAAAAAACUGAUUAUGUUGCCAUAAAGGGUCCCUUUAAAAAAAAAAACGCUCUAUCCAACGAAAACUAAUUAGAAAUAAAUCUCCUUCCCGAAAGCGAUAAAAUACUAAAGAAUGAGAAACUGACAGUUUACUGAGUUUGUAAG
rnacentral:lncRNA from 10 species